rnacentral:rRNA from 1 species
UACAGAGGGUGCGAGCGUUGUCCGGAAUCACUGGGCGUAAAGGGCGCGUAGGCGGCUUGAUAAGGUUGCGGUGAAAGCCCGGGGCUCAACCCCGGGUCGGCCGUGGCAACUGUCGAGCUGGAGCACUGUAGAGGCAGGUGGAAUUCCGGGUGUAGCGGUGGAAUGCGUAGAGAUCCGGAAGAACACCGGUGGCGAAGGCGGCCUGCUGGGCAGUGGCUGACGCUGAGGUGCGAAAGCGUGGGGAGCAAACAGG